UCCCCAGUGGCGCAAUUGGUUAGCGCGCGGUACUUAUAAUGCCAAGGCUGUGAGUUCGAGCCUCACCUUGGAAA
rnacentral:tRNA from 1 species